rnacentral:rRNA from 1 species
UACAGUGGGGGCAAGCGUUGUUCGGAAUUACUGGGCGUAAAGGGCUCGUAGGCGGCCAACUAAGUCACACGUGAAAUCCCCAGGCUUAACCUGGGAACUGCGUGUGAUACUGGAUGGCUUGAAUCCGGGAGAGGGAUGCAGAAUUCCAGGUGUAGCGGUGAAAUGCGUAGAUAUCUGGAGGAAUACCGGUGGCGAAGGCGGCAUCCUGGACCGGCAUUGACGCUGAGGCGCGACAGCGUGGGGAGCAAACAGG